rnacentral:rRNA from 1 species
ACUCCUACGGGAGGCAGCAGUGGGGAAUAUUGCACAAUGGGGGAAACCCUGAUGCAGCCAUGCCGCGUGUGUGAAGAAGGCCUUCGGGUUGUAAAGCACUUUCAGUAGGGAGGAAGGUAGUGUAGUUAACACCUGCAUUAUUUGACGUUACCUACAGAAGAAGCACCGGCUAACUCCGUGCCAGCAGCCGCGGUAAUACGGAGGGUGCGAGCGUUAAUCGGAAUUACUGGGCGUAAAGCGCAUGCAGGCGGCCUGUUAAGUCAGAUGUGAAAGCCCGGGGCUUAACCUCGGAAUUGCAUUUGAAACUGGCAGGCUAGAGUCCUUGAGAGGGGGGUAGAAUUUCAGGUGUAGCGGUGAAAUGCGUAGAGAUCUGAAGGAAUACCAGUGGCGAAGGCGGCCCCCUGGACAAAGACUGACGCUCAGAUGCGAAAGCGUGGGGAGCAAACAGGAUUAGAUACCCUGGUAGCACAGAG